UACGAAGGGGGCUAGCGUUGCUCGGAAUCACUGGGCGUAAAGCGCACGUAGGCGGAUCUUUAAGUCAGGGGUGAAAUCCUGGAGCUCAACUCCAGAACUGCCUUUGAUACUGGGGAUCUCGAGUCCGGAAGAGGUAAGUGGAACUCCGAGUGUAGAGGUGAAAUUCGUAGAUAUUCGGAAGAACACCAGUGGCGAAGGCGGCUUACUGGUCCGGUACUGACGCUGAGGAGCGAAAGCGUGGGGAGCGAACAGG
rnacentral:rRNA from 1 species